AGCGUCUUGGAGCAGCUGGUAGCUCGUUGGGCUCAUACUUCGUACGAGUUAAAGUGACCCAAAGGUCGUCGGAUCGAAACCGACAGACGCUA
rnacentral:tRNA from 1 species